UACGUAGGGAGCAAGCGUUGUCCGGAAUCAUUGGGCGUAAAGCGCGCGUAGGUGGCCUCAUAAGUCCGCUGUGAAAGUCAAAAGGCUCAACCUUUGAAAGCCGGUGGAUACUGUGAGGCUAGAGUACGGAAGAGGCGAGUGGAAUUCCUGGUGUAGCGGUGGAAUGCGCAGAUAUCAGGAGGAACACCAAUAGCGAAGGCAGCUCGCUGGGACGGUACUGACGCUGAGGCGCGAAAGCGUGGGGGAGCGAACAGG
rnacentral:rRNA from 1 species